rnacentral:rRNA from 1 species
UACCCGCUGAACUUAAGCAUAUCAAUAAGCGGAGGAAAAGAAACCAACAGGGAUUGCCUCAGUAACGGCGAGUGAAGCGGCAAAAGCUCAAAUUUGAAACCCUCGGGAUUGUAAUUUGAAGAUUUGGCAUUGGAGAAAGCUAACCCAAGUUGCUUGGAAUAGUACGUCAUAGAGGGUGACAACCCCGUCUGGCUAACCGUUCUCCAUGUAUUGCCUUAUCAAAGAGUCGAGUUGUUUGGGAAUGCAGCUCAAAGUGGGUGGUAAACUCCAUCUAAAGCUAAAUACUGGUGAGAGACCGAUAGCGAACAAGUACUGUGAAGGA